rnacentral:lncRNA from 1 species
AGUAUCUUGAUUUGACAACGUAUAUGUUGAUAAUUUUUGUUAUAAGUUCGGCCAAACUUCAAAACAUUUGACAGUUAACAAAAACUACUAGCCUGAUAAUUUGUAACAAGGGUUAAUUAGAUCUAUGCCACUCUUUAUUCCACCGGUUGAAGAUAUGCCAUUACAAAAACUUGACUUGGAAAAAUGUCACUCUAACUUUCUUAUACCUCUAUCAAUGUCAUUCUGUCCACUUAAGACCAACAAGUGUAAAUAAAAUACAUGUAUUUCAGCGUGUACAGCGGUAUUUACCAUAAUACCCCUAUUCACAACGUUCAACAGUACGUUCGAUUCUUCCAGGCGCCAUAAAGGUUAAAAAAAAUCAAAUUUAGCCUAAAAUUCAAUCUUCUAAGUAAAAUCUAUAAAAAUUACAGAAAAUAAAAAACAGUAAUACGAGUUCACCGUUGGAGACGGGAUAUGAGGAGCGCGUGGGGAAUAAGAGGAAUAGAACUGUUUGACUUGGGAUGGGAAAAAACUGUUCGUAUAGAGCUAUGUCUAUACGUAUUUAGACAGUAUACGUGCUGGUAUUGGAUAAAAUAGCAUGAAUAGAGGUAUAAAAAAGUUAGAGUGGCAUUUCUCCAAGUCAAAUUUUUGUAAUGACAUAUCUCCAACCGGUGGAAAUUAUAGUGGCAUAUAUCCAAUUAACCCUUGUAACAAAGGAACAUAGUAGGUUGUAGUAAUCGCCUAUUGUUUCAUACUCACUCCGUCCCAUAUUAAAUGAUUCAAAUUGUCCCAAAUAUGGAUGUAUCUAUGUCUAAAAAAAAUCU